rnacentral:rRNA from 1 species
CCCAACCCAAUGUGACGUUACCAAACUGUUGCCUCGGCGGGAUCUCUGCCCCGGGUGCGUCGCAGCCCCGGACCAAGGCGCCCGCCGGAGGACCAACCAAAACUCUUUUUGUAUACCCCCUCGCGGGUUUUUUAUAAUCUGAGCCUUCUCGGCGCCUCUCGUAGGCGUUUCGAAAAUGAAUCAAAACUUUCAACAACGGAUCUCUUGGUUCUGGCAUCGAUGAAGAACGCAGCGAAAUGCGAUAAGUAAUGUGAAUUGCAGAAUUCAGUGAAUCAUCGAAUCUUUGAACGCACAUUGCGCCCGCCAGUAUUCUGGCGGGCAUGCCUGUCCGAGCGUCAUUUCAACCCUCGAACCCCUCCGGGGGGUCGGCGUUGGGGAUCGGCCCUGCCUCUUGGCGGUGGCCGUCUCCGAAAUACAGUGGCGGUCUCGCCGCAGCCUCUCCUGCGCAGUAGUUUGCACACUCGCAUCGGGAGCGCGGCGCGUCCACAGCCGUUAAACACCCAACUUCUGAAAUGUUGACCUCGGAUCAGGUAGGAAUACCCGCUGAACUUAAGCAUAUCA